GUGUGUGUGUGUGUGUGUGUGUGUGUGUGUGUGUGUGUGUGUGUGUGUGUGAGUGAGUGAUUAAGUGUCCUUAAUAUUUAUUUUGUUUUGUUUUUUAUUAUUUGUUUCCAUUUUAAUGGUUGUGUAUAUUUCAAAUGAGAAGACGCCCAUCUGCCAACGUCCUGUAGUGAGAACUUGUCUUUAGUGGCUUUAUAAAAAGCAUGUCCAAGUGUGGCAUUUUGAUUCUUCUCCUGUGUGCAUGUUGUGUGGGCAGAAAAGGUCUUUCGGCUUAUAUUUCCUGUCGCUUUUCCCUGGAUAUGCGUGAGUGAAGUGACGAGUGCAGGUAGCAUAAAGUUACAAUAGUCUAACAAUCUCGCUUGUGAGGUGCGGCUUAAGAGCGCAAGCUGCUGUUUUAUAGAUCUGUUUUAUAGGUCUGUUUCAUAUACCCAUUUCAUAUUGCUGUUUCACCGUCUUGUGGUACGACUGUGUGGAUGUUGCGGUUUUGAACCAUUGAUUUACAGAGUGUUUUUAAGAUUAUUCUGCCCAAUUGAUCUGUAUGAUAUAUUUGUAUAUUUUUGUAUUUUGUGCAAGUAUAUUAAACCAACAUGCUUUGUAUUCUUGUUCAGUGAAGCAGCUUGGACGAUUUUUAAAUAUUAAUUGUGAAUUACCUAUUGUGUUUUGGCUGUCUUUGUAUUUUUAUUUUUAUUUUGUUUUUAACAAAAUUUAGUUUUAUUUUGUCUCUUGUUUUUGGCUUAUCACUUGCUUUAAUUAUUGUUAUGCACCGAUUUGCUGUGUGGUUUGUCCCUUCUGUUAAAGUGGAUCUAAUCUAGUCUCUUAUUAUUGUGGGUAAAUAACUGGUAAACUGUAAAUGUUUUUUAGAACAUUUUAGAGUAAAUGAUUUUUGCUAAAUAAAUUUGUACUAUUU